AGUGAACGCUGGCGGUAGGCCUAACACAUGCAAGUCGAACGGCAGCACAGUAAGAGCUUGCUCUUACGGGUGGCGAGUGGCGGACGGGUGAGGAAUACAUCGGAAUCUACUUUUUCGUGGGUGAUAACGUAGGGAAACUUACUCUAAUACCGCAUACGACCUACGGGUGAAAGCAUGGGAUCUUCGGACCUUGCGCGUUUGAAUGAGCCGAUGUCGGAUUAGCUAGUUGGCUGGGUAAAGGCCCACCAAGGCGACGAUCCGUAGCUGGUCUGAGAGGAUGAUCAGCCACACUGGAACUGAGACACGGUCCAGACUCCUACGGGAGGCAGCAGUGGGGAAUAUUGGACAAUGGGCGCAAGCAUGAUCCAGCAAUACCGAGUGGGUGAAGAAGGCCUUCGGGUUGUAAAGCCCUUUUGUUGGGAAAGAAAAGCAGCAGGUUAAUACCCCGCUGUUCUGACGGUACCCAAAGAAUAAGCACCGGCUAACUUCGUG
rnacentral:rRNA from 1 species